CCUACGGGUGGCAGCAGUGGGGAAUAUUGGGCAAUGGGCGCAAGCCUGACCCAGCAACGCCGCGUGAAGGAAGAAGGCUUUCGGGUUGUAAACUUCUUUUCUCAGGGACGCAGGAAGUGACGCUACCUGAGGAAUAAGCCACGGCUAACUACGUGCCUGCAGCCGCGGGAAUCCGUAGGUGGCAAGCGUUAUCCGGAUUCAUUGGGUGUACAGGGCGUGUAGGCGGGAGCGCAAGUCAGAUGUGAAAACUCAGGGCUCAACCCUGAGCCUGCCUUUGAAACUGUGUUUCUUGAGUGCUGGAGAGGCAAUCGGAAUGCGGGGUGUAGCGGUGAAAUGCGUAGAUAUACGGAGGAACACCAGUGGCGAAGGCGGAUUGCUGGAGAGUAACUGACGCUGAGGCGCGAAAGCGUGGGGAGCAAACAGGAUUAGAUACCCGGGUAGUC
rnacentral:rRNA from 1 species